GAUGAACGCUAGCUACAGGCUUAACACAUGCAAGUCGAGGGGAAACGGCAUUGAGUGCCUGCACUCUUUGGACGUCGACCGGCGCACGGGUGAGUAACGCGUAUCCAACUUUCCCAUUACUGUGGGAUAACCUGCCGAAAGGCAGACUAAUACCGCAUAGUCUUCGAUGACGGCAUCAGAUUUGAAGUAAAGAUUUAUCGGUAAUGGAUGGGGAUGCGUCUGAUUAGCUUGUUGGCGGGGUAACGGCCCACCAAGGCAACGAUCAGUAGGGGUUCUGAGAGGAAGGUCCCCCACAUUGGAACUGAGACACGGUCCAAACUCCUACGGGAGGCAGCAGUGAGGAAUAUUGGUCAAUGGACGGAAGUCUGAACCAGCCAAGUAGCGUGCAGGAUGACGGCCCUAUGGGUUGUAAACUGCUUUUGUAUGGGGAUAAAGUUAGGGACGUGUCCCUAUUUGCAGGUACCAUACGAAUAAGGACCGGCUAAUUCCGUGCCAGCAGCCGCGGUAAUACGGAAGGUCCAGGCGUUAUCCGGAUUUAUUGGGUUUAAAGGGAGCGUAGGCUGGAGAUUAAGUGUGUUGUGAAAUGUAGACGCUCAACGUCUGAAUUGCAGCGCAUACUGGUUUCCUUGAGUACGCACAACGUUGGCGGAAUUCGUCGUGUAGCGGUGAAAUGCUUAGAUAUGACGAAGAACUCCGAUUGCGAAGGCAGCUGACGGGAGCGCAACUGACGCUUAAGCUCGAAGGUGCGGGUAUCAAACAGG
rnacentral:rRNA from 1 species